rnacentral:rRNA from 1 species
CCUACGGGAGGCAGCAGUGGGGAAUAUUGGACAAUGGGCGAAAGCCUGAUCCAGCAAUGCCGCGUGAGUGAUGAAGGCCUUAGGGUUGUAAAACUCUUUUACCAGGGAUGAUAAUGACAGUACCUGGAGAAUAAGCUCCGGCUAACUCCGUGCCAGCAGCCGCGGUAAUACGGAGGGAGCUAGCGUUGUUCGGAAUUACUGGGCGUAAAGAGUACGUAGGCGGUGAUUCAAGUCAGAGGUGAAAGCCUGGAGCUCAACUCCAGAACUGCCUUUGAAACUAGAUCGCUAGAAUUGUGGAGAGGUUAGUGGAAUUCCGAGUGUAGAGGUGAAAUUCGUAGAUAUUCGGAAGAACACCAGUGGCGAAGGCGACUAACUGGACACAUAUUGACGCUGAGGUACGAAAGCGUGGGGAGCAAACAGGAUUAGAUACCCUGGUAGUCCACGCCGUAAACGAUGAUAACUAGCUGUUCGGGGUCUACGAUCCUGAGUGGCGCNGCUACGCAUUAAGUUAUCCGCCGUCGGGAGGUACGGUCGCGAGAAUUAAAACUAACAAAUAGAAGUUAGUACGGUACGUGAGACGUAGCCGAACGGACGACGACGAGGGAGGAGG